rnacentral:misc_RNA from 1 species
GAUGCUUACUGCGUAGCUACUCCAUCACUCCAUUCCCUUGUGCUCUCUCUUUAUUCUCUUGGUCAUGGGUCAUCGCUUAUACUCGUCAAUUACUACUUCAAAAGAGUAUAAGCAGCCAUCACAGUACCAUCCUCGCGGCAAUCUAACACCCAACUCUUUCUCACGCUAGAUGAUGAAGUUAUAUAAAUGGUGCUGCAGUUUUCAUGAAUUCUAUGAGACGUUUUGGCC